rnacentral:rRNA from 1 species
GGCAGCAGUAGGGAAUCUUCCGCAAUGGACGAAAGUCUGACGGAGCAACGCCGCGUGAGUGAUGAAGGCUUUCGGGUCGUAAAACUCUGUUGUUAGGGAAGAACAAGUGCUAGUUGAAUAAGCUGGCACCUUGACGGUACCUAACCAGAAAGCCACGGCUAACUACGUGCCAGCAGCCGCGGUAAUACGUAGGUGGCAAGCGUUAUCCGAAUUAUUGGGCGUAAAGCGC